rnacentral:sRNA from 1 species
AAAACGAAUAUAAAACACGUACGUAAGAACUAAUAAUAAGCAAAUAACGAGCAUUGGCUAGGUUGUCAGAAUGUUGAAUAGAGGCGGCGAAUAAGUCUAAGUGGCAUUGCUAUCUUGUUGAGUUAGUAUAGAAGUCCACGAUUGCUUUUACGUUUUUGCGUUAGUUCUCAGAGAAGUUGUAGACUUCUAUCUUGAAGUUUUGUGGACGGAUCUUGGAUAGUUUUGCUCGUGGCAAUUAAGAUGAUGAUUCCAGUUCUUCGGUUUUGUGGCAACCACACAAUUUUCUGAGCUUCGCGGGUUCGGAAUCGGUGUUUCUUUUUGCAAUUUGGCUUUGACCACUUAGUAGUGAUCCUUUGCAUCUUGAGUUGUAAUGUUGUUUUUAUAUUUACGUAGAUUGCUUUAAUCUGUUUCUAGUUUUCUCUGUAAUUCUAUCACAAACUAAAAAUAGUAUAAAAUUUCACCUUUUACCAAAAAAAAUAACAAGUAUUAGUACCCUAAUUUACGAUAGUUAAUGGCUGUAAGGCUAAAACUACCAAGCGGAGAAGACCAUAAAAAUUAUAAAACAUAAAAAU